CUGGCAGGGAGCUGCCGAAGCCGUGGGCCGAGCCGAUGGGCCGGGCGUGCUGAGCAGGUGUCUUCAUGUGCCAGAGACCCCACCAGCACCCCAUGAACACCUCUGGAUACCUUGGAGGAGCCUGAGACAGAGAUCCCUGCCAAGAACUGUGAGGAGAAGGAGGGAGGGAGAAGACAUGAGCAGGGACUCCAGCCAUGCCAUGAGCUAGGGUCUAUUUGCAACUCCACCACAGUCUAGCCUGUCCCGAGCAUGGAUGAGCCUGAUGAAGGAGAAUUGAACUCUGCAGCUUCUGACACGGAGGGCUUGAGGGGUGCACCUGACCAAAAUGAGGAGGAGUAAAAAGAGGACUGGGGAGCACAUGUUCUGCAAAAUCCUGCAAGCCAGUGCUGUAUCGGACUGUGAACAAAGGGCUUGAAAGGCCAAUGUGACUGACAGUAUGGAGAAGGACAGAGAGGACAGGGAAAAGGCCAGGAGUCCCAGCUAGAUAAGGAGAGG